GCCCUCUCCCUCGACAUCGCCCUUCCUUUUCCCCUGCUGAAUCGACCCGCCCCUCACAGAUGUUGUCUGCAGGUCGCGAGCAGCAGUGAGGAGGACGGGGCGAGCUUGAUCUCCCCGACCCGGCGUCGCGCGCAGUUGGAAAAUGAGCGAAGAAUUAGAAUUGGUUUCUUAUAUAACGGAAGAAAACA